rnacentral:rRNA from 1 species
GUUUGAUACCCCUGCCCUAAAAGCACCAGAUCUCAUCUGAUCCUUGAAGCUAAGCAGGAUCAGCCUUGGUUACUACUUGUAUGGGAGACCAUCAUGGAAUUUCAGGUGCUACAGGCU